AAUUCUCAACCAUGCCUUGAUCGAUUUCGAGGCAUGGCUUGGACUUGGGGGUUGCUGGCGGCGAAAGCUGUCGGCUCUCCUGAAAUGCAUUAGCAAUGGUCGGCAAGUCUGACGUGCACGGCCUUGACGUGAUAAUGAUCGUCGUGGCUGGAGCGUCGGACGAGCGCAAAUACGUCCGUUUGCUUCCAAUCCUUGACUUUGGGACGUGUAGACUUUCGAGCGGAAAGCUUUAGCUACUAGUUGGUCGUGAGACUAACGAACGCGGGCCGCCUCCGGAGGUCAAAGGGUUCCCUCGUCUACUUUCACG
rnacentral:misc_RNA from 2 species